rnacentral:misc_RNA from 1 species
CAAUAAAUAAAUAAAUAAAUAAGAAGGAAGCUUAGAAUAUCAUUUCUUUUGUUUUGUUUUCUAACAUUCAGCUCAACUUGAUCAGAUCUCAUAUGAACCAUUUACAGUUUGUUCUACAUGCAUCCUAUCACCCUUAUAAAUAAUAUACAGUUCAAAGGGCAGAAAAUUUUGUUAGUGUCCAAAUAUGAGGAUGGCAUUCACAGUUGAGUUCCAUAUUACUAUGAUACAGAAGUGUUACUGAUGUUUCUGGUGGUGGUGAUAAAAUAUUACUUACUAUGGCCCUGUGCGACUAAUGGCUUCUGGUGGAGAUCACCUGUGAAAUGACACCAUCUUAGUAAUUUUGACUGCUUGACAAACUCCAAUCAUUGUGCUGGUGUGAGAGUUGACCUUUCUAGGGAUUUUAUGUCCUCAUUGUAUCUCCUUUUUUGUUGGGGGGAGAAAAAAGACAGUCAAAUUCCUUUCCGAAUAUUUGUUUCAUUUUUACCUCAUUGGCUUUGGUUUAGUAUUAUUGUUUAGAGCUGCCAGCACAAAUAAAAAUUGUGUUCCCAAGUACAACCAUGCAUGCCAGAGUGAAAAAAGAUGUAAUAUACGUUUCUUUAUAAUGAUUUGGGUAAAUUAAUUUGACUUCGAAUUUCCAAUAGAAUCUGUAUGAAAACAUGG